rnacentral:misc_RNA from 1 species
GAGAUGCGAUAAUUAAUGUGAAUUGCAGAAUUCAGUGAAUCAUCGAGUCUUUGAACGCACAUUGCGCCCCCUGGUAUUCCGGGGGGCAUGCCUGUCCGAGCGGCAUUGCUGCCCUCAAGCACGGCUUGUGUGUUGGGCUUCCGUCCCUGGCAACGGGGACGGGCCCAAAAGGCAGUGGCGGCACCAUGUCUGGUCCUCGAGCGUAUGGGGCUUUGUCACCCGCUCCCGUAGGUCCAGCUGGCAGCUAGCCUCGCAACCAAUCUUUUUAACCAGGUUGACCUCGGAUCAGGUAGGGAUACCCGCUGAACUUAAGC